AUCCUUGUAGCGAAAUGGAUAGUGCGUUGGACUUCUAAUCCAAAGGUCGUGGGUUUGAAUCCCACCUGGGAUG
rnacentral:tRNA from 1 species